rnacentral:misc_RNA from 1 species
CCGAGUUUUUGUGGCUCUGCCGCAAACUCCCACCCAAUGUUUACAUUGUUGAUAAAGCAGCUUCGGCAGGACAUUCGCAAGAAUGGCUGGUUGAAAGACGGGCUUGUGCCUGCCGAAGUAACCAACUCUUUUAUCUUUGUUGUCUGAUACAAGCGAUAAUAAAUCA